GACGAACGCUGGCGGCGUGCUUAACACAUGCAAGUCGAACGGAAAGGCCCUGCUUUUGUGGGGUGCUCGAGUGGCGAACGGGUGAGUAACACGUGAGUAACCUGCCCUUGACUUUGGGAUAACUUCAGGAAACUGGGGCUAAUACCGGAUAGGAGCUCCUGCUGCAUGGUGGGGUUGGAAAGUUUCGGCGGUUGGGGAUGGACUCGCGGCUUAUCAGCUUGUUGGUGGGGUAGUGGCUUACCAAGGCUUUGACGGGUAGCCGGCCUGAGAGGGUGACCGGCCACAUUGGGACUGAGAUACGGCCCAGACUCCUACGGGAGGCAGCAGUGGGGAAUAUUGCACAAUGGGCGGAAGCCUGAUGCAGCAACGCCGCGUGCGGGAUGACGGCCUUCGGGUUGUAAACCGCUUUCGCCUGUGACGAAGCGUGAGUGACGGUAAUGGGUAAAGAAGCACCGGCUAACUACG
rnacentral:rRNA from 1 species